rnacentral:rRNA from 1 species
GAAUCUUCUAGCUUGCUAGAAGUGGAUUAGUGGCGCACGGGUGAGUAAUGCAUAGGUUAUGUGCCCUUUAGUCUGGGAUAGCCACUGGAAACGGUGAUUAAUACUGGAUACUCCCUACGGGGGAAAGUUUUUCGCUAAAGGAUCAGCCUAUGUCCUAUCAGCUUGUUGGUGAGGUAAUGGCUCACCAAGGCUAUGACGGGUAUCCGGCCUGAGAGGGUGAUCGGACACACUGGAACUGAGACACGGUCCAGACUCCUACGGGAGGCAGCAGUAGGGAAUAUUGCUCAAUGGGGGAAACCCUGAAGCAGCAACGCCGCGUGGAGGAUGAAGGUUUUAGGAUUGUAAACUCCUUUUGUUAGAGAAGAUUAUGACGGUAUCUAACGAAUAAGCACCGGCUAACUCCGUGCCAGCAGCCGCGGUAAUACGGAGGGUGCAAGCGUUACUCGGAAUCACUGGGCGUAAAGAGUGCGUAGGCGGGGUAAUAAGUCAGAUGUGAAAUCCUGUAGCUUAACUACAGAACUGCAUUUGAAACUGUUACUCUGGAGUGUGGGAGAGGUAGGUGGAAUUCUUGGUGUAGGGGUAAAAUCCGUAGAGAUCAAGAGGAAUACUCAUUGCGAAGGCGACCUGCUGGAACAUUACUGACGCUGAUGCACGAAAGCGUGGGGAGCAAACAGGAUUAGAUACCCUGGUAGUCCACGCCCUAAACGAUGGAUGCUAGUUGUUGCCUUGCUUGUCAGGGCAGUAAUGCAGCUAACGCAUUAAGCAUCCCGCCUGGGGAGUACGGUCGCAAGAUUAAAACUCAAAGGAAUAGACGGGGACCCGCACAAGCGGUGGAGCAUGUGGUUUAAUUCGAAGAUACGCGAAGAACCUUACCUAGGCUUGACAUUGAU